CAGUGAUCGGUAAGAUGGUGGCGAUGACGUUAUUUCCGGCCGGAGGCAAGAUGGCGGCGAUUAUGCCAUUUCCGGUCGGAGGCAAGAUGGCGCUGCCUGCUGAAGCCACGGAGUUGCACGAGCUGUUGAACAAUUCCACAGAACUGCAUUGUGUUUCAGCCACACACUACAGCAGGAUUUGAAGAUUCGUUCAAAUAUUCGGCUGCUUUCUCUAUGGAAAUAAUCAUUUAGAGGCAGUGAGCAGCAGAACACAACAAGACGCAACAAGACACAACAAGUAAAAACUUAAUAAAUCUCAUUUUUAAAAUUUAAAUUGUUCUUAUAUUUUAAGUCAUUCACAUUUUAAACUUUAAUAAAA